UACGUAGGGGGCAAGCGUUGUCCGGAAUCAUUGGGCGUAAAGAGCGUGUAGGCGGCCCGGUAAGUCCGCUGUGAAAGUCCAGGGCUCAACCCUGGGAUGCCGGUGGAUACUGCCGGACUAGAGUUCGGAAGAGGCGAGUGGAAUUCCCGGUGUAGCGGUGAAAUGCGCAGAUAUCGGGAGGAACACCGAUGGCGAAGGCAGCUCGCUGGGACGUUACUGACGCUGAGACGCGAAAGCGUGGGGAGCAAACAGG
rnacentral:rRNA from 1 species